UAAUGAGUGAUUGUGUGUGAGAGGAUUUGGGUGGUCGAGCCAUUUGCUUAUCCUCGUCGACGGUUCACGAACCCGAAACAAAAGUGACGUCGGCGACCACGACAGCACGACCUGCCACUUGGCUCCGAUCUCUACACCUGCUCACUUCAUUCUCCAUGAACGAUUUAGCAUUGUCUUACACAGCCACGAAUUGCCUUUAUCGGGACACUCUUGCCUCAUGCGGAUGUAAGCCACCUAACACCGAAUUCUGCAGAGCGCAUGUGUUCGUGGAAGCAGGUCCAUACUGAGUGCCCUAUUUCCAAUCUCAGUACCUUCUCAAGAAGCUAUGGAUCCGAAACCGUGUAUUUUCAUUAUGUAUAAUUAAGGAAUAAUGCUGCUU
rnacentral:lncRNA from 1 species